CCCUUAGAUGUCCGGGGCCGCACGCGCGCUACACUGAAGGAAUCAGCGUGGCUUUCUCCCUGACCCGAAAGGGUUGGGAAACCCGUUGAAUCUCCUUCGUGAUAGGGAUUGGGGCUUGAAAUUGUUCCCCAUGAACGAGGAAUUCCCAGUAAGCGCGAGUCAUAAGCUCGCGUUGAUUACGUCCCUGCCCUUUGUACACACCGCCCGUCGCUACUACCGAUUGAACGGUUUAGUGAGGGCCUCGGAUUGGUCUCGGCCCGCUCGUUACCGGGCGGCGCCGUUGGUCGAGAAGACGCUCGAACUUGAUCGUUUAGAGGAAGUAAAAGUCGUAACA
rnacentral:rRNA from 1 species